rnacentral:rRNA from 1 species
AACGAACGCUGGCGGCGUGCCUAACACAUGCAAGUCGUGCGAGAAAGUUCCUUCGGGAGCGAGUAAAGCGGCGCACGGGUGAGUAACACGUAGGUAACCUGCCCCCCAGUCUGGAACAACUAGAGGAAACUCUAGCUAAUGCCGGAUGAGACCACGAUCCCUUCGGGGGUUGCGGCCAAAAGAUGGCCUCUACUUGUAAGCUAUCGCUGAGGGAUGGGCCUGCGGGCCAUUAGCUUGUUGGUGAGGUAACGGCUCACCAAGGCUGUGAUGGCUAGCUGGUCUGAGAGGAUGACCAGCCACACUGGGACUGAGACACGGCCCAGACUCUACGGAGCAGCAGUGGGAAUAUUG